CACGACACUGGUUAUAGGUGGAGA
rnacentral:siRNA from 1 species